rnacentral:tRNA from 1 species
UGGUACUUAGCUUAAUUGGUAGAGCCUUUGACUCCAAAUCAAAGAGGUAAAUGUUCGAUUCAUUUAGUAUCAG